rnacentral:rRNA from 1 species
CCUACGGGAGGCAGCAGUGGGGAAUAUUGCACAAUGGGCGAAAGCCUGAUGCAGCAACGCCGCGUGAGCGAUGAAGGCCUUCGGGUCGUAAAGCUCUGUCCUCAAAGAAGAUAAUGACGGUACCUGAGGAGGAAGCCACGGCUAACUACGUGCCAGCAGCCGCGGUAAUACGUAGGUGGCGAGCGUUGUCCGGAUUUACUGGGCGUAAAGGGAGCGUAGGCGGACUUUUAAGUGAGAUGUGAAAUACUCGGGCUCAACUUGAGUGCUGCAUUUCAAACUGGAAGUCUAGAGUGCAGGAGAGGAGAAUGGAAUUCCUAGUGUAGCGGUGAAAUGCGUAGAGAUUAGGAAGAACACCAGUGGCGAAGGCGAUUCUCUGGACUGUAACUGACGCUGAGGCUCGAAAGCGUGGGGAGCAAACAGGAUUAGAUACCCCAGUAGUC